CAACAAAAAUGAAAUACCUCACUGAGGACUCCUCUGAAUUUUGAGUAGGUCUCACCUAAGAAUGUCUACGUUUGUACUAAUCGGGCGGAAGUUGGUUCUAGGAAACACCUUCGAAAUGCCAUUUCUGACCUUUAUUCCUCUUCCGGAAAUUUCGAGUUGGGAAUCAAGGUUGGGUUGGCCUGAGGGGAGGAGUAGACGCCUCUGGGAGAUUCAGGGUCAGCACUGUUAGGUGGUUGAGACUCAAACGUGUGCUAAAGAAGUGGGAAUUGUGGCAUUUACGCAAAAGCUAAGACUCCCAGGGAGAGGAAAAUAAAAAGCAAUCUCUACACUCAGUGUGAGGCUUGAACUCAGGACCUGGAGAUCAAGAGUCACAAGCUCUACUGACCGAGCCAGCUAAGCCCUCUACUACUCCUAUCUAUAUUUCCUGUUCUCUCCUGUCUCAGCUACAGAAAUCAUUUGUGUGGCCUGUGAAUUUGUACAGAAUACACAGGACAGAGAGGAGAUGGCGCCCAGUAGGUCCAACCACAAAAUAGGGCCAGCCAGGCACCCCAUGAGGUCUUGAAGAAGUAAGAAAACUCACUGUGCUUCCAGAGGAGUUGGAAGGGUCACCAAUUUUAACAUCAGUCUCUACUAUGGGAUGCUGAAGAAACUGACGAACGAGAGAC